rnacentral:lncRNA from 1 species
CUACAGUAACAUUAUCAGCCAUUUGUCAGUAGCUUACCCACUCCUGGUAGCUUUGCUGCUUUCCCCCUCUGCUCCUCAACUUGCUCUGAUGCCACAGUUUCAUCAUCUGCUGCAUCUCUCUUUCUCUUGAACAUAAAAUCAACUUUUCUCAGCAUUCUGUUUUAUUUCUGCAUUAAGAUUGGAGCAGCUGUCUCUUUAAAAAUUCCCUCCUUCCGCAAAAGGCGGAAGUUAAUCCCAGCGCCUAGGCAACAAGCGUCCAAUCAAAAGUGCGCACUGAACGCUCCGGAGUUUGUUUGUAUGCGGAAGCAAAUCCGGCUCACUCACAAGCAGCAUGAUUACUAUGGUUGGAUUACUACGGUUACAAUGCAGAGUGCAGACUGACGUGCGGCAACACGGUAAGCAAAUGUAGCCUACAGACACUGCAGGGGUGAAAGUUUGUGUACCGCUGUGUACCGUCUGUAAACUGCUGUUUAUGUCUCUCCGGUACAGCGUACUGCUGCGUACCGGUGUUGUGCCGUAGAAUGCACCCCUGCCGUAAAUGCACCCCCUGACAGGAGCGCAGUUUAAAGCACAUAAGAAGGCGAAAUAAUCCAAGUUUUCCUCAUUAUUGGAUGGAUUCAAAAGCGUGUGCCUGUCAUGAUUUCAUUUAGACUAUUGAGAUAAGCCCUCUGAUUUGGAAUAUUCGCUGUAUAAUAUACAAGUAUAAUGUUCUCUCGCUUGACAACUUGCUUUACAGUUUGAAUACCCAAGUACACCUCUAUGUGUGCAUUUUUAAGACAUAAAAACAGAACAAGAGUUUGCUGCUUCAUUUGACAUGUUGUCAUGAUCCAGUACUCGUGUUUUUCUUUUAAUAUGAGAUCAUUUUCUUCCAUUUUAAGAGGCUAAUAAGUGGAUGGGAUGCAAGGGAUGCAUUCCAUGCCACAGCACCGGCUUACUUUCACCCCUGCCUCUCAGUCCAAUCAGCCACACCCCUAAUUUUGCUGAACAAUGCACAACUGCUAGUCAUGAUAUAACCAAAAUGAAGAAGUUAACCAACUACAGCAAAGUGUCUAUGAAUGAAAAACAAUCUAUCGCACUUGAUUGUAAAUAGGUUAGAUAUUCUGUAUCAAAAGUUUCAAGUAAUCUAGCAAAACAAGUUCUUCAGAAUUGAUAAAGUUCUGUCUUUUAUCUUUAAACCCAAAAUCUCAGUUGACUGAUUCUCUAACUUUAAACAAUUUUUCUCCAUUUCCAUGGCUCAGUUUCACAGUGCUAUCUAUUCCUUUUUCUAAAUAGCCCUAUCCUGGCUAAAAUCUUUCAGCAUAGUUAAACCUCAACCUCUCCCAUCCUCUCUUCUACAUAUUCUUACACACUAUUGGAGAUCUGUGAACCUUAAUUUGUCAAGCUACAGGGUGGAGAGUCCAGAAAACCCGAGACAGAGUGCAAGUAUCUCUGUCACAUGACUGACCUGACCCCAGUGAUGGCUGAUAUCCCACCAAAUAAAUUCUAAAUAUAGAGCCAUUGUUAGGAAUGAUAUAUUAUAAAAGAGCAGCAGUUGUAUGAUGAUAAAAUUAAAGUCAAUAUGCUAAGUGGAGGGAGCUGCCAGCAGCUGGUAGUCAUUACCCAUUUUAAUCAUUCAAAAAGAAGAUUGGGUAAAAAGGACUUUAUUUUGUCAGCCUGAAAUAGUGCCACAUUUACUCCUCAUUUUGUGAUAAAAUAGCUCAGUAAGCAUGGAAUCUAGGGGGUGAUAAAACUGUUGCACAAGAAACCCCAAUAGACCAGGGAUUCAAAACUGAUCCACAUGAAGUUUCUACUGCAGCACCACGAGCUGACCUGUCAUCAGAGAGAGUUUGAUUGUAGUUUAUGGGAAUGUCACCUUGAUUUUAAAGUAGUUUAUCAGUAUUUACUAGUCAAAAUAAAGAGAUAAAUAACACCUGUUGGUGCACCUGUAGUCUGUACUUAAGGCAACCCAGGAGAUCACAUGUCUCACUUUGGCAGCACCUGUUUAGACUGCAGGUUUUCAAACUGUGAGACUCACUUUCCCAGGGGGGGCUUUGGAGAAAUUGAUUGCUUACCUACCUGGUCAAAGGCUGGAGUAGAAGCAGCUGCUGUGGUGUACAGCUCACGGAGGCGGCACAGGUGCUUGAAAAUUCUGACUGGUAACUAACUUAUCCUUUUUGAAGUUGUCUCAUAACCACCAAGUGUUUUUUAAAAUCAUAAACAUAUUUGCCUCACAGGGUUUCUAAAGUUUCUUAACAAGUAAUACUGACAAAGUAGAGGUUAUAAUACACACUAAAAACAUCAGCAGUUACCCCCCCAAAAAAAAGACUGAGCCAUAAUAAAAGGGAAGCAAUUGUAGCCCACAAGAAAACAGCUCUUUUUAGAUAUUUCCUAUACUGAUGACUGAUUGUUUGUUUUUGCAGGACACUUGACAGCUCCUUUUUUUACGCCAUAAGCAGCCCUCUAUUUUACACAUUACAAGCAAUUCAGAUCUUAUUUUCAGCUUGUUGAAUCUUGAAAAAUGAUGAAUAUCUGGACUUGUUAAAUGCCUUAAUAAAUAUUUUAAACGUAUUACUCUGGAGUCUCUGCAGUGUGUUGAAGUACUGUUUUCUGACAGGGUGAGGAGUGUUCUUGUCACACUCUGAUGGGAUAAUAUUGAACCACCCAUUCACCACACAUCAUCCCUUAUUAACUAAAAUUUGACUUUUAAAAGCCAAGGGCUUUAAAUACAAUGAAAUGUUUGAUUAAAAUUGAACAAUGUUGUUCAUGAUCAGGGCUGUUUUGCUAACUGAUUGACUCUUUGUAGUUGAUUACUCUUUUCCGUAUUUUGCCUCCUGAGUUGAUGUAACAAGUUCAUUUCCCACAGUGAAGGAUCAAUACAACCUAAUCUUAUGUAAAGGUUUGUGCAGCUCACAUUAAUAAUCAAGACAUAUACCCCAAGCCUUAAAAAACUGAUCAAAAGAAAUAAAGUUACCAAGAAAAUCUUAAUCCCACCUUCUUUAAAUUUAUUGUUUUAUUUUUCAAGACACUUUAAAUUUAUGACUCGGUACCAGCAUUUAAAAUGUAUGAAGCAUUUAAAUAGCUGCUAACACAUUCCAAUAAUCCAUCACAUCUGAACCAGCUGCCUUGAAACAAAAGCUCAAGAGUGAUUUGACAAGUUGAGAGGACUCAUUCAUUUCCUUUGACUCCCUGCUUUGACCAUGACAGUCAAUGGAUGCUCACCUUCACCCCCACGACAACCAAUCAUAUGUUCUCACCUGAGUCACAAAGGGGGACCAAUGGGCUUCUAAAGAGUCGGGUAUUAAUAAAGUCACAAGGGGGCCUCUGGGUAAAUGAGUUCGCUGGUGAUUAAUGAGAGUGCUUCUUAAUGGGACACGUCAGACUGUAGAAAUCACCAAUCACAGCGCAGGAUUGUGGGUGCUCGGUCUCAUCUCUUGCCACUGAUAAGACUUGGCUGAAUCACAAAGACAGAGAGGGGGGGAGAGAUAUGGAAAACAAAACUGAUGCUUUUUGAGAGAAAAUACGAGGAGGGAGGAGGAAGAGUGGGAGACGGGAACAAUGAGGGCUCGAGCUGUGAGUGUGGCAGCGAAUUAUAGAGAGCAAUGCAGGGAAAAAAACAAUUCAAAUGCACACAAGCUGAUGAGAGACAUCCUCUCAACUGCCUUAUACUUUGUCUCAUGGUGACACACACACACACACACACACACACUAAGAAUAUACACACAGCAACACUGACUGAGACAGACGACUCUGAAUACCAACAUAUGUAUUAUUCUCCCUGCCUUUCCCUCUCUACUCUUAUUCCGCUUGUGUGCAUUUCACUGAAGUUGCAGUUUUCCAUGUCAAUGUAAAUGUGAGAUAAACUGGAGGGGAGAUGGAAAAAUAUUACAAAACCAAACAAAAUGUUUUAUUGAAAUAACUAUUAAAAGUGCAGCUGUGCAUGCAUAUUUGUGCUAGCAGGUUCCCAUACAUGCAUAUAUGUGUGUGUUUCCCUUCAGCUUCUAUAUGUUUGUUGUGUCUGCAUAUGAAAGAGUUGUACAUGAGAGUCUGUGUAGUCCCAGAGUAACUGACUGUAGAGUUUUAUUCCAUUUGAAGCUGUUUAUGCUGCCUGGUUAAAGUUUGAUGAGACCUCUGCUAGUAAAUGAACACAGUUAGGAAUUUGGAGAGAGACGCAAUGCGGAAAAUACAUCAAAUCUGUGUGUGAGUGUGUCAGUGCGUGUGCAUGUGUGUGUGUGUGUGUGAGGAAAAAGAAAGACUGCCUGCCAUGGUGUCAAAAUACACUCCAGCCAAAACUGAACUCUUUGUUUGUUUGUGCAGAAUGACUGCCCAUGUGCUCUCUUUGUGUUACCAGCGUUAGGUGUGUGUGUGUAGGCAUGGUGUGUUUUUGUGUGUUUGUGUGGGUCGUUUGCGGAAAUGAGAGUGCGUAAGAUUGGCAUGUAAUUAUCAGAGUGUCAGCUCAGUGAUACUCUGCCGGGUCAUUCAUCCUCUGACUGUCAUCGAACUGCACCCUUCGAGCACUCCACUGCACUGUCCUGAGAGCUGGUAUAAGAGUGGAUCUAUAAGUGUCAGUGUGUGUGUUUAUGUAUCAGUGUGUGUGUGAUACAUGCCUCCUUGCUAAAAAUCCAAAGUAAGAGAGGAGCAGUGCAGAAAUCCUUGAGAAAAAAAAAGCAAGGGGGUGAAGUCCAGCAUUACUUCAAAGCUGCAGAAACUAGCCUUCACUGUAGUUAAUCUUAGCUGGCAUUAGGAUUUAAAUUUGGAAAAGCUUGUGAAGCUACAUCACACUAAACAGGGAAUGAUUUCAAAUCCUAAGGCAAAAAUGCAUAAGGACAGAUGACUCACAGACAGCCUGUAUUUUAAUGAAAUCCCAUAUCCCCUUACAAAUAAUUAUGCAAAUUCUCAAAGACAAAGAAGGAUACUCUGUAUUUGUCUUGUUUCCAAUCAAAAAUAUGUCAUUAGUCUAAAUAAAAGUCACUUUCAUGAGACAAGCUGAGAUACACAUCUUGUUUCAAGAUAUUGCAAGUGAAAAGUAAGAUCUAAAUUGCUAGAAAUUAGUCAAAACACAAGUGAGAAAAAUGGACUGUAAUCUGGAAUAGAAGGUGCACCGCAGGACAGGAUCUGUUUAUUGAGGGUCAGGCUGUGUUCCUGCAGGAAGAUGUUACUGUGUUCAGCAAUGUGCAGUUUUUGUGCAGAUGUGUAGCUCCCUAUGGUGCAAUCUGUUACUGCCAUCACACCAGCUACCUGUAUGGUAAUUAAGCACAGCCUAAAGCAGCUUAAUUAGUUGUGAGGUUUGGAUGGACACAUGAUUUACUGACUAAAUAGUAUAGCACCAUUUUCUGUGAAUGCCUGACUAAGAUCAGAUGUGCUUGACUGGUUUGUCUUGCUUUGUUUCCAGCAUGUUUUUCACAUAUUCUUCUGCCCAUCAUGACAUCUCAGACUUUGCUCUUGACUUUUAAUAUCUUGAAAUAAGACAUCCAUCUGGACUUGGCAGGCUACUGAGGCAUACGUUAAAUCUAAUCAAAUAUUUUUGACCAGAAAUAAGACAAACUUUUAACACUUUUUUCUCUGUGCACUAACCCUACACUGAAUAGAUACAUUUUAAUGAGUACUUUAUUUUUUAUACAUUUGAAAGUUUUCUUAACUUUCAUCUAUCAGUGGUGGAGUAUGUCCUUGACUCCACUUAUGUUUAUCAUUGUUCAGGAAAGAGAAGCUUUAAGGACUUUUAAGACCAUCCCCAUAAAUUCUAAAACCAAAGUGGAUGAAACUGGAUGUAACCCAAAGUCCCAACAUUUUAGACAAAUGAAACCAAAAUUGGCUGCCAGACUGAACGCCCUCUUAUUAGUAUUUUGAUGCAGUGCCUCCACUUUUAAGAGCCUCCAUUAUUACUCCUCCAUUCUUGAAAACAAUCAUUAUUGCUGCUAUAAUCCGGUCAAAAGAACAUGUGGUCAGAUCCAGCGGUAAUCAAUGAUAGUUAUGUGGUUUCAUUGUGAGCACUUGCCCUUCCAAAAAGUACAUUUCGCUUUAGAAAUACUUCGGGUGAAUUUUCAGAAAACACAGUGCAAUAAUGCUGUUUUAAAUCUGUGCUACUCACUUUAUGCCAUACUUGUAAAUGAAGGCUUACUUUCAGCCUCUCUCUGUGCUGAGAAAUCAAUGCAUAAUCCUUACCACACAGCAAAACUAUCCAGAGUAUUUACUCUGCAGUUAUAAAAAAGCAAAUUCAGUGUUGCCAAAUGUCCUGAAAACAUCUGACCCUGCAGUUAUGAAAACCAGAAAAACUGCUACCCAGUGUGUUUCUACAUAAGGCAGCUGUCAGCAACCCAAACAACACCAAUCAUCAAUAUCUAGAAUGCAAUUUUGUCAUAGAGCUGCAUUAAUAAUUAAAAGAUAUCGGGAAGCAUUAGAUAGUAUCAGCUCUUCUGUUGCUGACAGAUGUGCAAUAAGUAAUCAUGAUGAGAUUGACUGCUGAACCGUGCACUAAACUGAACAAUUAGACAAUUAGCAAAACAGCGGAAGAAAAAGAAAAUAGGAAGUUUUGUAGAGAUCAGUUAUGAGUUGUUCAUAAAGGAUUGCAACCCUGUGAUUCUUAUUGACUCACGAAGAAAUAAUAAAAAAAAAAACUCAUGUCGUCAAGCACCCCAUGAAAAAGAAAACCAUUACUGUUGUUCUGGUUGUAAUGUUCCUUUUAUGCGCCAGACAGGCAUCCAGCUUGAGUGUGAGCAUGCUUUGUGAACCAUGAGAAUGAGAGAUUACUUAAAGCUAAAUACAAUCAGAUCUUUAUUGUUGACUCUGAAGCUUCCCUGAAGUCACAUUGGAAAGACAGAUGUGUUCAUUGGUGUGUCAAACAAGUGUUAUUAGUUCAGUGGGAGCCCCAUCAGGCAUCAUGAAAAAUAAAUACCAAGCAAUUAAGGAGGCCUGAAAAACAACGGAUUGAUGUCACAGCAACAUAUCUGCCGCUUCACAGCAACCAGCAAGGCUUGUGUUUGUCCAAAGAAAGAAAGUCUCGCUCUAUGAACAAUCAAGAAUUAUAAGAAUUAUACAUUUUGUUACAGUAAAACUGCAGCAGAAAAAAGCAGCCAUGUUGGCGUCACUGUUUUGCACAAUUAUGCAAAAAAAAAGAAGCAAUCAGCUUUUUCUUUUUUCUUUUUUUCAUAAAUCAUCAUAUUUCAAGGUGAUUUAUUAAGUGGUGGUGCAAAUGUCUAUUAGUCACACAAAGCAAAGCAAGAUUGCACUCCUGCUCAAUGAACAGUGAACCCAGCUAAGCAGAAGUGCAGCCCACGAAAGAGUCACUUAUUUAAUUUUAUGGUUCUGCAGCCUGAUUAGCCUUUGGCUGGGAUCCUGUGCUUUAUCUAUUUUAACCAUGGCUAUUAUGGCUUAUGAAAGAAACAUAGGGACCUGUUCACUGGCUGCUACAGGUGUACUUUGUCAGGUGUACUGAAAACUUUUUCCAUAUUUGUGUUGGUGAAACAGGGGUGAGGCUGGCAAUUUAGUUUGAUCCAUUUCAACCAGGCACAUAUUUUCAAAUGGCUUAGAAAAGUGUGACUGUAGGGACUGAACACCCAUAUCAUAUUACUGUUCACUGUUAGAGGUAGGAAAGGAAAACAGAGCCUCUAUGCUCAUUAGAAAACAAAAUAGACAGCUAUAAUUCACCAGAACUUGUACCAAUUAUGACUGGCCCCUCCCCCAAAAGUCAUAAGACAACAUCGUCUGCAUAUCAGGGCAGUUUGUGUGGAUGUAAUUGUCAAUCUUACAUCAGACUCAAACAAAAGAGAGACUGCUGUUUCCUCCCUGUUUUUAACCAUGAGUCAGCAUGAGUCAGCAUUGUGUUUGUUUAAACCCGACCACAAUUGUGUCUGAACUCUACCCUAUGGAUUUUUUUACUGUAACCAUAGCAACAAAAUUUACAAGCCUUAUGUAAGUACUUCUUUUAACCACAUCGCAGACAUAACUAAAACACAUCCAUGUUGUUUCUCUGCCUUAAACUUCCCAAACCUGGCAGAGGAUUAUUUUUAUUUAUUUACUUUUCUACAGUCGUGUGUAAUAAGACAUGACACAUGACAGUACAGACAACUGAAUUUGCCUUCAGGGAUCAAUAAAGUUCUUAUUAUUAUUCUUAAACUGGGUGGGUUUAGGCGAACGUCCUAUGCAGUUCUUUUCAUCAAGUUGUCAGAUCACACAACAUGUCAAGCACUGAACGCCUUACAGACUUUAACAACAUCAAGUCAUUUCAUGUUCAUGUUUUGUUAUCCCCUCUUCCAUUUCUAUGCCUUUUCCUUGUUCUUUGGGUGUAAAAAUGAGGGGUGCAAUAAUGCAAUAGAUUAAGUUACCUUUGGUGACUAUGGAUUGCAUUAAUUAUGGAUUUAGUCUGUGUUGUCCCAUGUUGGUUUUUGGAGAGGCCAAAUGGAAGUUGCUAAAUUUAAUUUGCUAACGCAGCCGAACUUUAGAUUGAUCAAGAAACAGACAAGAGGGUGAGCUCAGGCGGGUUUGUAGCUUCCUGACAUCCUGUUCACCUGUCUGUCCUCUCAGCUCUCCCCCUGAUCACACAGAUUUAAUUAUUACCUUUUAUAUUCAUUGUUUUGUUUGAUGUGUUAAGAAUUCAACUCCUUUACAAAGUGUACAACCAAAGAAUCAACCCCUUUUCCAACCAGAUUGCGUGCAGGUUUGUUUCUGCAGUAAAGUUGACAUUAUUAAACACUGAACCCAUUGGGGAUUACCUUCACUUUGCUUUCGCAGCCAUCCACAUGUGGAUACUCAAUGAAGUGCAGUUUUUUAAACUCCUUUCUGCAUUUAGAUCAUUUUCAGCUCUGGAGGUUGCAGCUUUCCCUGAACUUGUGGUGCUACCCUAUACUUAUGUGCACUCAGGCAUACUUUCACCUUCAGAGGAAUAGAGAAUUAGCCGGUGUUGCACCAGUGAAUUCAUAUUACACACUGACAUGGUAACUUUGAUACUGAGAAAUAAAGACAACGGAUAACUCCCUGGUCAGUUCUGGAGUUAUACAGCCCUUUCCUUCUAAUUCGAUCUCUACUCGCCCCCUUUCCUCAGCACUUGCUCUCUUCUUCCCUCAUUUACUUUACUGAAAGGACAGCAGAAAAAGCAAAAAUCUUGGAUGACCUUUGAUGUACCUGGCCGAGUCUGGCAACCCCCCACAGAGAGUAAAAAUAAGACGGUGUCCAGGACAGCUACACUUUCAUCCAGGCUGUGCAAUCGAUAUAAGAGUUCUUACUGGAGAUCUUAUUGAUGUUCUGAGACUCACUGUGCUCAUCAAUAGAAACAAUGAUCACUAGGAGAGAGGGAGACAUAGAGCGGGAGGCAGAGCAACACAUCCUUUUCUCGUCAUGUUUUCUAUUGGAAAUUCUGUCCUUGGGUUUGUAAAUUAACUAAAUUACAACUCAAUGCCUGUGCUGCCAACUUAAUGCCUGUGACAUUAAAAUUCUUGACUGACAGUGAUACUGCACAAAGGCAAGGAGAGACUUUUCUAAUUGGCAGCAACAGUCGGCGGCAAAUAUAGCUCAUUCAAUAAGUGAUCCUGACACUAAACUAAUAGAGAGGUGUAGAGAGAUGAACAAAGACCCCUAUAACAUUAAGCCAGAGAAAGAAACCCGAUGGUAGGAAAAGUGAGAGGUCCACUGUUCUUUAUAUUCUGGCUUCUCCUGACAUCACAGGCUGCCUUAGCUAGGGUCAGUUUGAAGUGAAGUCUGUGAAGCUGAGCAGAAUUGCUUGUUUUGAGACCAUAUUUGUAUCUUUGUAUCUUUUCUCACUGUCACAAAAUUUGAUAAAGUUGCUUAUUCACACAUGUACCUCAGCACGUGGUCUCCCAAUAUAGAGGAGGGGGAUAGUGGACGAGGGGGAUAGAGCACCAAUGCUCAUGCAAACAGAUGUGCAGAUAUCUUAAGUUAAAAACUGACUCUCUUCUUCAACCUUGAAAUGCUCUUAUUAUUCCUGCUACAAUACUUUCUGCUGCAUUCUGACAUAAGCUGGCCUUGACUUCUUGUGCAAGUUUUAUUGAGGGUGUACUCUCUGACAAUUGUGCUACAUCGAAUUUCCCCUCAGGGAUAAAUAAAGUUCUUCCUAUCUUAUCUUAUCUUACAGGCUCCUGUGAGGAGCUUUUGACUGCUUAGAAAAUAGAUUGAAAUUAACACUGAUGCCUUCAAAAGCAAACAAGACCAAAAAUGACUGGAUCAAAAAGGCAUAUUACGUAGUUUUUGAUGCCUGUAACUCUUGGAGGCAGGGUAGAUGUCAGAGAAAGCGGUCUUAUUUAUUGACAUAUCUUUUGGGUAGCACUUUGCUUGACGCCUUUCUCUAUAACGCAUUAUAAAUAUAUGUAUAAUGCAUUACAGUCACAUUACAGCACUGUAUAACUAUAGUUAUGAACACCCAUAAAUAUCAUAAUGGUUUAUAGCAACAAUCAUAACACAUUAUAAAGCAUUUUAUCAUGACUUACAAGGUCAGGUAUUAUAAUGUGGUAUAACUCUAAACAACUCACUGACAAUGUCUACAUAGAUAGCACAUUAUACAUAUAUUUAUGAUGUGUUAUAAUUUGCUAAUAAACUUGUAUAACUAUUAUUAAAAACACUUAUUGUAAAUACUUAUUAUCAAAAGGCUUUAUAAAAAUGAGCAUAACACAUUAUAAUACCUGACCUUGUGAGUCAUGAUAAAAUGCUUCAUAAUGUGUCAUGAGCAUAUGAUUUAUGAGUGUUAUGAAUAUAUUAUAUGUAACACAUUAUACAUAUAUUUAUAAUGUGUAAUAGAGAUAGGCGACAAGUAAAGUGUUACCAUAUUUGCGUUAAAUAUUGACAAUAGGUGACAAAUUCCACUGUUGCAAGGAGGCACCAAAACUGUCACAAACAGAGAGUUCCUCAGUGAUGCUUCAGGUGAUAACAGCUGCAAAAAUCAGACACUUUCAAACAUUGUCUUGUAUGGAAAUGUGUUAAAGCUUAACCCUGAGAAUGCUUACAUUUUAACUGGGAUAAGUAUGUGCAAAACUUGAGUCCCUGAAAAAUGCCACUGAGGAGACCAUAAAAUGUAUCGUAUCAUGUCAUAUCAUGUCGUACCUUAUUGUGUUGGGUUGUAUCAUAUUACAUCAAAAUGUACCAUUUCAUGUCACGUCAAAUCAUAUCAUAUCAGGUCCUAUUGUAUUGUAUCAUGUCGUGUCGUGUUUUGUCAUGUCAUGUUGUGUCACAUUGCAUCGUAUUGAAUCAUAUCGUUUAACUUUGCGUCGUGUUCUAUCGUAAGGUAUUAUGACAUUGUAAUAUAUCAUUAUGUAUCAUAUAGCAUAACACAUUGAAUCUUACUGCUUAGUAUGGUAUCGUAUUGAAAUAAUUCUUUUCAUCAUGAAUACUGAGAAAUAUUUGGAUUUUGGUCCAUUUCUUUUUAGACAUUUAGGCAUUUUAAUAUCAUCAAUCCAGGUCAUCAAUCCCAAACUCCCCAAAAAUAUAUAAUUUCAUGUUGCAAUAUUUUUUUAAGCAAACAGCAAAUACAGCUCACUGUUUAGAUAAUUGACACAAGUAGUUCUUUUGCCUUAAAUAUAGUUUUGCAGAAGAGCUCUUGUACUAAAAAUCAGCUCUGAUUGGUUUUUUGACAGCCUGAAAGCAUUACAUUAGAAGCGGUUCAGGAUAAUAGUUGAUAAUUGGCAGAUGGGUAAAAAGCCUCCUUCUCCUGCUAUAACUGCUGCAUUGCACUGAAUAAGUCAACAGCAGUGAACAUCUCUAGUGAAGCUGCUAUAGAAGGUUAUACAUGUACAAUCAGCUUCGAUUAGAUACACUAAAGAGCACAUGUAACAGCAAGAAAAGAGGCCUUCAAAGGGGAUGAAAUGGAAAAUAAAUUAACAUUUUUAUUGCAGCACCUUAUGCAGAGAAAUAUUUGUAAAGCAGAGUCUGAUAAAACAUGUAGAGAUCUUAAAUGUAGAGUGAUAUUUGUCAGAAACACGUUCAAAUUGAGCUAGCUAUUAACGUUGCUUAAAUCUACUGCUCGGUGUUUACCCCGUCCCAGGACAAAAAAGCACACAUACUCAGUCACACACACACACACACACCGUAACACAUGCACAGGUCUGCAUGUUUGAAAGGGAAGUUUAACCCUUUCAAGUGACUAGAGAGUGCGCUCUCUACUCUCUCGUGUAGAAGGAGAUAGAAAGCACACAUCAAUACUCUGAGUCAAGGUGCUGAGUGCCACAUCACAAAACCGACACACACACACCAGAUCUGUUUACAGUGUAGCGAGCUGUCACCAGCAGACUGUAAAUAAUAGGCUGGAGAUGAAACCGUUUGCGAACAAAAAAACCACACAGCUCCGAGUGCGUGCGUGUGUGUGCAUGUCUGUGUGUUUGUGUACUGUGGGUUUGAAUACCCUGUAGAGGCCGAGGCAUUUGCCCAGUCCAGUGCUCUUUCUUCCAGUCUGGCAGGCAGACAAGGGGAAGUGAAAGAGAUAAGUUGAAAGCAGAAGUUCCUGCAGUCAGCGUACAGGCAGGAUAUGGCCUGAUUGAGAUAGACUCUGACUGAUUGUGAUGUGGACUCAGCUUAUUAUCAACUCUCUGUCUUUCUGUCUGUCUGUCUGUCUGUCUGUCUCCACCAGAAAAUUUAAAAUGGAAAUCAUCAAGUGCAACCAGGAACUGAUUUUCAUAAAAUGACCUGUUGUGUUUAACUGUUGCAAAUAUAUGGAUUGUGAAGUCAUGUGUUUGAGUUUCGCGAUAUCACAUUUGAUAUCAAGUAAGUAUUACUUAAGCUACAGUGAGUGACAAUGCUGGUAACAAAAUCUGGUCCUGUGCCUCCAGGUUCUUCAGUUUUAUCCUUCAACUCCAAUAGAGACUGCAUAACCAGAAUGUUUGGUCAUUGUCAUCCUGGCAUUGCUUUUUUAUGGCAUCAGUCCGCUGUUACAAAAUAACAGACCUCUAAGUACUGUGAUUGACCAAUCAGAAGUCUAACACAUGCUGAUGUAACUGGUAAAGGGUAAUGAAUAGUGAAAGGAUGGUGAAAUUAAAGUCUCAGAGCAGAAGGGUCUUUACUGGGGUGACAAUGAAAUGAAGCUAUUGCUGUUAUCACUACCACUUAUUAUUUAAGUUACUUUUUAGUGAUGGCAAAUUAGAAUCUGUUGCCUGGAUUGCAGGACAGGGUGUUUCCUUACUUUUCAGGAGGUUAGGCAGAAAAAAAUGUGCUGGACUCCUGAUUCCAUAAGGCAAGUGUGAUCAGGUUGUCCAUUGUGUCACUUUUGCUGUUGACAAUUAAUCACAGUCAAAAUGAAGGUUUUGACCAAUUAGAAGCAAGUAGCAAGGAAGAAAAUAACUUUAGAGUAGGAAGGGUGCCGAAUCGUUCUCGUAUCACUACAUUCUAUUUCAUUACAGUAGACUAAAGGUGCCAACACGACUUUAUAAGUAGGCAUAUCAAAUAAAAAUACACUGCAGUGCUGAAAGGUGAGCAGACCUAUAAGACCGUCUUCUUCCAUCCCCUAUCUUCAUCUUUAUUUCUUUCCUCCUUCUCCUCCACCUCUUUCUUUAAAAAAAAAAAAACAUAUGUGAGUAUGAGUGUGUGGGUGGAGGGCCUUGCUUCUAUUUUUCACAGGGAUGUGGCACCGGGAGUGUAAACCAGGCCAGAGAGUGGGAGCGAUAGAGGAAGAUGGAAGAUGGAGAUAGUAACGAGGGACAGAGAAAGCCUAACAAGAAGUUUGGAGCAGAGAAACUUUAGCCAAGCUUUUUAGCAUGCUUCCACUGAUCCCCAACUACUGUGAAGUGUUCCCUCUGUAGAGUAACUACUUCCUUCAGUACAGAGAGAAACCAUUUUAACAAGAGGAGGAUCCACUUUAUUAUCAUUCCAAACCAAAUCCUAACUCAAAAUAGGACAUUUUUUUUGACAGCGUUGAGUCAAUAUUCACACACAAACUGAUCCCUUCUGUCAUCAAAUGCUUGAAAUUCGCUUCACAACAAAGGGGGGGGGGGGGGAGUGCUGGGGUUGUUGCUUGGUGACUAGUUUCUGUGACAAAGCAGGACAAGAAGCUGUGCAGGAUAAGCUAUAGCAACUGGAGACAAAGCCAUGCUGACAUGCAGUUUGUACAGCUAAUUAAAAAGAAAGCAUUUCAUUAUAAAUGGACUUACCUCCUUGCGAACCACAGCUGAAAGAGUCUGAAUUAAUGUGUCUUCUAAAACAGCUUUUUUUUUUUAAACAAAGACCUUAGUCAGCAGCAGCUGAGUUACACAGUUUCCCUUGUGUCCCUUUUUUUCCACAUCCCGCAUUCAGCUGUCUUAUUCAGGUGAGGACCAGAGAGGAUGCAUGGCUGCCACAUCAGCUCACGCUCCCUAAUGAACGUCAACUUGGGCCAGUUUUUUUUUUUUUUUGGAGUCAGUGCAAAGUAGUUCACUACAUCAAAAUGAAUAAUAUCUCUCUUAGCAUUUGUUUUAAACAUGCAUGUCCUACUUCUAAAUUAGCAGCAGAGAAGCAGAAUUCUCAGUAUGAGGUCCAGGAUGUUCCAGAAAUGGUCCAAUCCCAUCUGCCUCUCAUCAUACCUGUUUCCCAGAAAACUUUUAAUCAACUGCCCCCGUGUCCCUGAUAAUAUAUAUUUUUUACUUUUAUUAUGCACAGUUCAACAACUAACAAGAAAUCCUGCUGUUUUACAUGGCUCUGUUAGUGUCUUUAAUCAAAUUGCAAACAGAAAUUAUACUCAUAGUAUAUAAUAGUGUGUAUUUUAGGAAAACCAAAUUAGAAAAAGAGGUUGUGCCGGCACACUAACUUGAUACCACAAAGAACUGAUUAGUCCUCUUCAGACGGUAGAAAGACACUAUAUAGGUUUAGGAAUACCAAAAGGCUGAUAGCACCAUGGUGGCAGGUGUGGUGCAAUAUGCCCCAAAAUAAAAACAUAGGGGAGAGUGGGGUAAGAUGAGCCAUUUUUCAUAUUUUGGAUCACUACAUCAAUCAUAGUUUUGUCUCUAACUAGUGUAUCUGCAUAUAAUUCAAGAUGUUGUGCAUCACUGCAAACCAACAGAAUGAGUGUAAACAUAACUGUCUUGAUAAUAUAGCAGGCCAAAAAAAGUGGUCUCCUAUGGUCAACUUACCCCAUAGGAGCAGGGUAAGUUGAGCCGUAUCCCCUCCCAAUAUCUCCUUACCAGAAAUCUUCCUAAUAUUUCAUGAUACAUGUUACUCACCACUGUUUUCAAAGAAACACAUUUACCCACAAGUCCCAGAGCCGUGUGCCAUGAGUUGUGUAAAGACUCCAAAAAGUCUGACUGGGAUGUAAAGUGUCAGCCAUUAGAAAAAUAUUAGGCCAGAAAGGCAAACUUUUUUUUAUCCCAAAUUGAAAGUGGUCUGGAGCACUAUGUGAAGAAGGGUGUGCCAGUCUACAUUUCGCUAGUUAAUCUCAGUAAACGGUACAUAACCAGGGCAUUAUUGAGAAGCAGAAUGCAAAGAGAUUGGUUCAUAGGUGUGGGUUUGUCAUAACACAAAUCAAAUCAAUCAGUGUGUUAGCUCUCAUUUCCUGUAGGAGCCACAUGCGCCUGCAAGAAGGAGCCUUGUUAUUUACACAGCAGAUUUCAACCUUUCCUUUCAAAAAGAUUGAGCUCAAGCCAGCACAUUUAACUUCUCUUCCUCCACCGUGUUCCUACAAAUGCAGAAAACUCAAAAAGUUCAUUGUGUGAGUUAGUCUAAGAAUGGAGUUCUUCCAAUUAGACAAUCCCAACAAUUAUCACAAACAUUCAGCGACUUUCCAAUUUAGAGAUGAUAAGACAACAUAGGAUAAUAUGGAUAUAAAAAGAGGGUACUGCCUCAUGUUCCUUAGGAUGUUAUUUUUUUCUUCUAAAUUCCAAAUUUGCUGAAAUCAACAAAAAUCCUAUUUAUUUGCCAAAAUAAAGCGCCAUUACUUCAAAAGCCUAAUAACUUGGAUUGGUGUGAAAUUGCAGUAUGUCCAUUUGUGGUUCUCGGGUUUUGACACAGGUAUGAGUUAUACAGACGUUUCCCUGUAUAUUAUAAAGUAUGUACAUGAUAUAUGUGUGUGGUAAAGACUUGGCAGCGCCUGAGGUCCUGAAGCAAGCCUCUACCAAUUCAGCACCAUGGACAGCGCAGACAGCUACUUUAGGAAGAGAAUGAGAGCAUUUCUAUACCGUGGUGCUUUAUUUCUUUCAUGCUUCUUUUCUGUUUUAAAGUAAUCUAUAUCUAUAGAUCCAUAUGAAUACAGUGUCAUGAUUUAUUGGAAAAGCUCUAAGGAUUCUGGUUUCCAUUUAUAGAAACAGAGGUGCUUUAGCAGAAAGAAAUAUGGCUCCAUUCAAGAAAAGGAUGUGGAAAUCAAGAGGCAAAGGGGAAAUGACGGCAAUCUAGGAGAACUGCAUAAGCCAGCUUGUGAGGCAUCACACAAGGUAUGCUGUCAACUCUAACUCACUCUGUAGAAAGAUAAAGGCUUCUUCCUGAAAUCUGAGCCCGAUUUCAGCUUCAGAACCCAUUUUGAGUAUUUUCUUCUCUAGUUUUCAGCUAACAAAUCAUAGGAGUAGAACCUCAGAUUUCUAUAGAGUCAGCCAGCUAGCUCACCUUGUUGGUAUUUGGAACAUCUAGAGGCUGAAGUGAGCUGAAUACUGAUCAGAAUAGAGGAAGAUAAGCCCAUGAUGAUGGAUAGUCUUGGAUUCAUUACUUCACUGUUUUUGUUUGAUGUUUUUCGUAGCUUCAGUCAAGAAACACUUCAGUCCCUGGACCCCAAAGACAAAGAAGGGUAUGAGAGCCCUGGAGCUGUUUGUAUAGAUGGUAUAAUAUGCAAAGAAAGAAAGACAGAAAAGAAGAGAGAGAGGGAGAAAAGAUUGCAGC